rnacentral:rRNA from 1 species
GACGAACGCUGGCGGCGUGCUUAACACAUGCAAGUCGAACGGAAAGGCCCUGCUUUUGUGGGGUGCUCGAGUGGCGAACGGGUGGGUAACACGUGAGUAACCUGCCCUUGACUUUGGGAUAACUUCAGGAAACUGGGGCUAAUACCGGAUAGGAGCUCCUGCUGCAUGGUGGGGGUUGGAAAGUUUCGGCGGUUGGGGAUGGACUCGCGGCUUAUCAGCUUGUUGGUGGGGUAGUGGCUUACCAAGGCUUUGACGGGUAGCCGGCCUGAGAGGGUGACCGGCCACAUUGGGACUGAGAUACGGCCCAGACUGCUACGGGAGGCAGCAGUGGGGAAUAUUGCACAAUGGGCGGAAGCCUGAUGCAGCAACGCCGCGUGCGGGAUGACGGCCUUCGGGCUGUAAACCGCUUUCGCCUGUGACGAAGCGUGAGUGACGGUAAUGGGUAAAGAAGCACCGGCUAACUACGUG